AUUGAACGCUGGCGGCAGGCCUAACACAUGCAAGUCGAGCGGAUGAAGGGAGCUUGCUCCUGGAUUCAGCGGCGGACGGGUGAGUAAUGCCUAGGAAUCUGCCUGGUAGUGGGGGAUAACGUCCGGAAACGGGCGCUAAUACCGCAUACGUCCUGAGGGAGAAAGUGGGGGAUCUUCGGACCUCACGCUCUCAGAUGAGCCUAGGUCGGAUUAGCUAGUUGGUGGGGUAAAGGCCUACCAAGGCGACGAUCCGUAACUGGUCUGAGAGGAUGAUCAGUCACACUGGAACUGAGACACGGUCCAGACUCCUACGGGAGGCAGCAGUGGGGAAUAUGGGACAAUGGGCGAAAGCCUGAUCCAGCCAGGCCGCGUGUGUGAAGAAGGUCUUCGGAUUGUAAAGCACUUUAAGUUGGGAGGAAGGGCAGUAAGUUAAGACCUUGCUGUUUUGACGGUACCAACAGAAUAAGCACCGGCUAACUACGUG
rnacentral:rRNA from 1 species